rnacentral:rRNA from 1 species
AUUGAACGUUGGCGGCGUGGAUUAGGCAUGCAAGUCGAGCGAGAAAGCCACCUUCGGGUGGUGAGUAAAGCGGCGAACGGGUGAGUAACGCGUGGGGAACCGUGCCCUCAGGUGGGGGAGUAACACUCCUAACGGGGUGCUAAUACCGCAUGAUGCGGCUGGGUCGCAUGGCCCGGCCAUCAAAGGUGGCCUCUGAUAUAAGCUAUCGCCAGAGGAUGGCCCCGCGUCCGANAGCUAGUUGGUGGGGUAAGGCUCACCAAGGCUACGAUCGGUAGCUGGUCUGAGAGGAUGGUCAGCCACACUGGCACUGCGACACGGGCCAGACUCCUACGGGAGGCAGCAG